rnacentral:rRNA from 1 species
UACGAAGGGGGCUAGCGUUGUUCGGAAUUACUGGGCGUAAAGCGCACGUAGGCGGAAUGUUAAGUCAGGGGUGAAAUCCCGGGGCUCAACCUCGGAACUGCCUUUGAUACAGCACGUCUCGAGUCCGGAAGAGGUGGGUGGAAUUCCUAGUGUAGAGGUGAAAUUCGUAGAUAUUAGGAAGAACACCGGUGGCGAAGGCGGCCCACUGGUCCGGUACUGACGCUGAGGUGCGAAAGCGUGGGGAGCAAACAGG